rnacentral:rRNA from 1 species
UCAUCAACCCUGUGAACAUACCUAAACGUUGCUUCGGCGGGAAUAGACGGCCCCGUGAAACGGGCCGCCCCCGCCAGAGGACCCUUAACUCUGUUUCUAUAAUGUUUCUUCUGAGUAAAACAAGCAAAUAAAUUAAAACUUUCAACAACGGAUCUCUUGGCUCUGGCAUCGAUGAAGAACGCAGCGAAAUGCGAUAAGUAAUGUGAAUUGCAGAAUUCAGUGAAUCAUCGAAUCUUUGAACGCACAUUGCGCCCGCCAGUAUUCUGGCGGGCAUGCCUGUUCGAGCGUCAUUACAACCCUCAGGCCCCCGGGCCUGGCGUUGGGGAUCGGCGGAGCCUCUCUGUGGGCACACGCCGUCCCCCAAAUACAGUGGCGGUCCCGCCGCAGCUUCCAUCGCGUAGUAGCUAACACCUCGCGACUGGAGAGCGGCGCGGCCACGCCGUAAAACACCCAA